rnacentral:rRNA from 1 species
GUCUAUGGCCAUACCACCCUGAACACACCUGAUCUCAUCUGAUUUCAGAAGCUAAGCAGGGUCGGACCUUGUUAGUACUUGCCUGGGAAAACAUACACAUAAACAAGACUUCAAAUAAU